rnacentral:lncRNA from 1 species
UUACCCCAAACUCUCAAACCUUUUUACUUUUCCUUCAAAACUUUUACUCCUUCCCACUUUCCCCCCAAAACUUUUACUAUCUACCCAAAAUCUAUUUCCCACCAAAAUUUUACUCUUCCAUUUACUCUUUUCUCAAAAUUUUACUCCCAAAAACCCUCAAAACAUUUUAUUUUCCCCCCAAAUUUUUACUCCCUCUCACUUUUCCCCUAAAACUUUUAUUCCCUUCCCAUCCCACCUCUCAUCUAUCCCAAACUCUCCCCCUCCAAUUUUUUUUUAAUAUUUUCCCUCCAAAAUUUUACUCCCCUAUUUACUUUCCCUCACUUUUAUUUCCCAAAACUUUUUAUUUUUCCUCUAAACUUUUACUUCUCACCCUUUACUCUCAAAUAAAAAAUUAAAAUUAUCCCAAAAAAAUCACUAAACAUAAAUAGUAAUAAUUUUAUUUAUAUCUACUAUUUAUAUUAUUAAAUUAAAUUUCACAUUUUAUA